UACGGAGGGUGCAAACGUUGCUCGGAAUUAUUGGGCGUAAAGCGCACGUAGGCGGUCUAGCAAGUCGGGUGUGAAAGCCCUCAGCUUAACUGAGGAAGUGCAUUCGAAACUACUAGGCUUGAGUACUGAAGAGGACGACGGAAUUCCCGGAUGUAGAGGUGAAAUUCGUAGAUAUCGGGAGGAACACCAGUGGCGAAGGCGGUCGUCUGGGCAGAUACUGACGCUGAGGUGCGAAAGCCAGGGGAGCAAAGCGGGG
rnacentral:rRNA from 1 species